rnacentral:ncRNA from 1 species
UCUUAUAUGAAAGACUCAGGUGCUCUCAGCUCAAUAGGGAAUCCCGUGGAAAUCGGGGGCGAGCCCGUCGCUGUAACCACCGCCGGAGAAUCAACCGGAAACCACUGUCUUUAAGCGCCACUGUUUCCAAGGAAACGGGAAGGCCGACAGCGGUUGGUGGAAGCCAGAAGACCUGCCUGGGUCUAAGUAGGAUA